rnacentral:misc_RNA from 1 species
GUGAAUCAUCGAAUUUUUGAACGCAUAUUGCACUAUCUGGUAAUCCGGAGAGUAUACCUAUUUGAGGGUCAUUUGAAAUAUUAUUGAUUUCGAUGUUUGCUUGAAAUUAGAAAUGGGUAGGUCCAGCUUUUGUGUGGUGGUCGUCUAAAAUGUAAGACAGGUUUAUUUCUUGGGUGGCGUGAUACUUUAGGA